UACGUAGGGGGCGAGCGUUGUCCGGAGUUACUGGGCGUAAAGGGCGCGCAGGCGGUCUGGCAAGUUUGGAGUGACAGUGCUCGGCUUAACUGAGCAAGGCCUUCGAAAACUGCUAGGCUUGAGCACUCAAGAGGGACAUAGAAUUCCGGGUGGAGUGGUGAAAUGCGUAGAUAUCCGGAGGAAUACCAAAGGCGAAGGCAGUGUCCUGGGGAGUGUCUGACGCUCAGGCGCGAAAGCUAGGGGAGCGAACAGG
rnacentral:rRNA from 1 species